AUUGAACGCUGGCGGCAUGCCUUACACAUGCAAGUCGAACGGUAACAGGUCUUCGGAUGCUGACGAGUGGCGAACGGGUGAGUAAUACAUCGGAACGUGCCCGAUCGUGGGGGAUAACGCAGCGAAAGCUGUGCUAAUACCGCAUACGAUCCACGGAUGAAAGCGGGGGACUCGCAAGGGCCUCGCGCGGACGGAGCGGCCGAUGGCAGAUUAGGUAGUUGGUGGGAUAAAAGCUUACCAAGCCGACGAUCUGUAGCUGGUCUGAGAGGACGACCAGCCACACUGGGACUGAGACACGGCCCAGACUCCUACGGGAGGCAGCAGUGGGGAAUUUUGGACAAUGGGCGCAAGCCUGAUCCAGCCAUGCCGCGUGCAGGAUGAAGGCCUUCGGGUUGUAAACUGCUUUUGUACGGAACGAAAAGACUCUCUCUAAUACAGGGGGUGAAGUGACGGUACCGUAAGAAUAAGCACCGGCUAACUACGUGCCAGC
rnacentral:rRNA from 1 species